AAGUAAAGUUUAAUAACAUUUCAUUUACACUGAAGAGAUUCUUUAUAGAUACUUUGAGG
rnacentral:tRNA from 1 species